GAUGAACGCUGGCGGCGUGCCUAAUACAUGCAAGUCGAGCGAACAGACGAUAAGCUUGCUCCUCUGACGUGAGCGGGUGACAGGUGAGUAAGACGUGGAUAACCGAGCUAUACGCCGGGGAUAACUGCUUGAAACCGGAUCUAACACCGGGUAAUAUGGUGAACCGCACAGUUCAAUAGUCAAAUACGGUUUUGCUUUCACUUAUAGAUGGAUCCGCGCCGCAUUAGCUAGUUGGUAAGGUAACGGCUUACCAAGGCGACGAUGCGUAGCCGACCUGAGAGGAUGAUCAGCCACACUGGAACUGAGACACGGUCCAGACUCCUACGGGAGGCAGCAGUAGGGAAUUUUCCACAAUGGGCGAAAGCCUGACGCAGCAACGCCGCGUGAGUGAUGAAGGUCUUCGGAUCGUAAAACUCUGUUAUUAGGGAAGAAAAAAUUUGUAUGUAACUAUGCACGUCUUGACGGUACCUAAUCAGAAAGCAACGGCUAACUACGUG
rnacentral:rRNA from 1 species